GACAGAGGCCUCAAGCGUUUAGGCGGAAUCACUGGGCUUAAAGCGUGUGUAGGCGGAUCGUUAAGUGUCUUGUGAAAUCCCACGGCUCACCCGUGGAACUGCUGGGCAUACUGGCGAUCUUGGGCCAACUAGGGGCAACUGGAACAAGCGGUGGAGCGGUGAAAUGCGUAGAUAUCGCUUGGAACGCCAAAGGGUGAAAACAGGUUGCUGGGGUUGUGCCGACGCU
rnacentral:rRNA from 1 species